UACGUAGGGUGCAAGCGUUGUCCGGAAUUAUUGGGCGUAAAGAGCUCGUAGGCGGUUUGUUGCGUCGACCGUGAAAACUUGAGGCUUAACCUCAAGCUUGCGGUCGAUACGGGCAGACUUGAGUUCGGCAGGGGAGACUGGAAUUCCUGGUGUAGCGGUGAAAUGCGCAGAUAUCAGGAGGAACACCGUUGGCGAAGGCGGGUCUCUGGGCCGAUACUGACGCUGAGGAGCGAAAGCGUGGGGAGCGAACAGG
rnacentral:rRNA from 1 species